rnacentral:rRNA from 1 species
AAUCAACGCUGGCGGCGUGCCUCAGACAUGCAAGUCGAACGCGAAAGUCCCCUUCGGGGGACAAGUAGAGUGGCGCACGGGUGAGUAACACGUAGGUAAUCCACCUUCGGAUGGGGAAGUAACAACCGGAAACGGUUAGCUAAUACCGCAUAAUGCAGCGGCACCUAAUGGUGACAGUUGUUAAAGACGGGGGAGUCGAAAGACCUCGCGUCUGAAGAGGAGCCUGCGGCGGAUUAGCAGUUGGUAAGGUAACGGCUUACCAAGGCGACGAUCCGUAGCCGGCCUGAGAGGGCGGUCGGCCACACUGACACUGACAUACGGGUCAGACUCCUACGGGAGGCAGCAGUC